GCGGGGGUGGCAGAGAGGUUAUGCGCCGGCCUGCAGAGCCGGAUAGCCGAGUUCGAUUCUCGGUCCCCGCU
rnacentral:tRNA from 1 species